CUGCAGAAAACAUGAAACUGAACUGUACAAAGAUGCUGAUGAGGGGCUGCAGCAUGCAAUUCACUUCACCAGCAGUCACUAAGGCUUUUAGACUUGGACUGGGACUACACCAUCAACUUUCCUUGGUCUGCAGCUUGCAGACAACAGAUUAUGGGACUUACCAGUCUCCAUAAUCAGAGGUCUUUGACAUAUCAAUGCACCAGGGAUCUUACCAAACUAAAUUUUAAGCACUUAUAGCUCAAGAUUCUCCCUCUGAGAUGAAACAUACUUCCACCCUGUCAUGUAUCAGCUUCAGAAGAUAUCAAUUGCUCAAGAAAGUGUUGGACAAGCAGAAAAGCACACUGAACAUUUCUGGACUUGUGAAAGAGCUCUGAAUAUGGAUCUCUCAGGGAUAUUCCAUCCCCACCAAUGCUUUACCAAUGCCAGAGCUGGCCAGGCUGAGACAUUUAAUGAUAACAUGGAACAAUUUAUUCAGGAAGAUAGCCAACUACUCAUGUGGCUUUAUGAUUAUAAAACCCACUGAAAAUUGGGUCCCUUGAUUCUCUUGAUUUUUCCUAAGCCUUACUCCCUAAAGUCUCCAAUUUGAUGAGGUAUUUGAUACCUGAUCUCUCCUUGAAGUAAAAUUUGGAGCAAAAUAUAUUGGACUGGAAGGCCUAAGACCUCGAUAAGAAGAAACAUGAACCCCAGAGCCAGAGGUCAGGAGGUUUUCAUUAUAAUACUAUUGCCCUCUUAAAACAAAUACUCCAAUUGCCAAGGUUUCCUCACUUAAUAAUUUAUCUCAUAUGCGUUUUUGAAAGUUACUCUGAAUACUUCUUAUAUGUAUAAAUAACUUAGUUAACAGUAAUUAAGGCAGAUAUUUAAAGAAAUACAAGCAGGCAGGUGGGAUGAUGAGUACCGUCACUUGAUAAAGAACAGCUAGGUGGCCGGGUGCGGUGGCUCAUGCCUGUAAUCCCAGCAUUUUGGGAGGCUGAGGUGGGUGGAUCAUGAGGUCAAGAGUUCGAGACCAGCCUGGCCAACAUGAUGAAACCCCGUCUUUACUAAAAAUACAAAAA